UACGAAGGGGGCUAGCGUUGUUCGGAAUCACUGGGCGUAAAGGGCUCGUAGGCGGUUUGUCGCGUCGGGAGUGAAAACCCAGGGCUUAACUCUGGGCUUGCUUUCGAUACGGGCAGACUAGAGGUAUGCAGGGGAGAACGGAAUUCCUGGUGUAGCGGUGAAAUGCGCAGAUAUCAGGAGGAACACCGGUGGCGAAGGCGGUUCUCGUGGG
rnacentral:rRNA from 1 species